rnacentral:rRNA from 1 species
UUCUGGUUGAUCCUGCCAGACCUGACUGCUAUCGGAUUGAUACUAAGCCAUGCGAGUCUUUGUAGCAAUACAAGGCAGACGGCUCAGUAACACGUAGUCAAUCUACCCUAUGGACGGGGAUAACCUCGGGAAACUGAGAAUAAUACCCGACAGAUCAUUAUACCUGGAAUGGUUUAUGGUUCAAAUGAUUUAUCGCCGUAGGAUGGGACUGCGGUCUAUCAGCUUGUUGGUGAGGUAAUGGCCCACCAAGGCUAUAACAGAUACGGGCUCUGAGAGGAGAAGCCCGGAGAUGGGUACUGAGACACGGACCCAGGCCCUAUGGGGCGCAGCAGGCGAGAAAACUUUGCAAUGUGCGAAAGCACGACAAGGUUAAUCCGAGUGUUUUCUGCUAAAGAAAUCUUUUGUUAGUUCUAAAACCACUAUCGAAUAAGGGGUGGGCAAGUUCUGGUGUCAGCCGCCGCGGUAAAACCAGCACCUCAAGUGGUCAGGAGGAUUAUUGGGCCUAAAGCAUCCGUAGCCGGCUAUGUUAGUUCUCGGUUAAAUCCAUGUGCUCAACACAUGGGCUGCCGAGAAUACUGUAUAGCUAGGGAGUGGGAGAGGUAGACGGUACUCGGUAGGAAGGGGUAAAAUCCUUUGAUCUAUCGAUGACCACCAGUGGCGAAGGCGGUCUACCAGAACACGUCCGACGGUGAGGGAUGAAAGCUGGGGGAGCAAACCGGAUUAGAUACCCGGGUAGUCCCAGCUGUAAACUAUGCAAACUCAGUGAUGCAUUGGCUUGUGGCCAAUGCAGUGCCGCAGAGAAGUCGUUAAGUUUGCCGCCUGGGAAGUACGUACGCAAGUAUGAAACUUAAAGGAAUUGGCGGGGGAGCACCACAAGGGGUGAAGCCUGCGGUUCAAUUGGAGUCAACGCCGGG